CCAGCCUGGGGUCCCGUCAGAGCAUGUUACUACUAAGUAUGGACAGAGUCCAGCAGUUCCUUCCACACCUGCUGUCCCCAGAGACCGCCUCUUUGCUCCCUCUGAAGCUCUGGGAUGCCUAAAUCCUGGAAAGCAAGCACGUGCUCACAGCCAUGGCAUUCACGAUCCUCAAGGUGCACAGCAGCAAGUGAGCUCACGGGAGCCCAGGUGUGCAUGAGGGUGGGGAGCGGGUCACAGCCCACUGCUCUAACCAGUGCACAUGCCUCGGAGGAGGGAGGGUUGGCUGGGCAGAGCCCUCUGCAGAGAAGCAUCGGGCAUAGGGCCUCCCCCUGCCACUGCACUGCCUGCAGAACUCCUGGGAACAGCUGGACCCCCAGAAGCUAUCCCCAGGAGGUGCCCUGGAGUGGAAACGUGGGGCCUCUCUGCAUCUGAUUCCCACCUAUUGCCCAGAACAUCUUCUGAAGCUGCCCUGAAGCGGAAAGGUCUUCAGAAGUUUCUGCAGGACACAUUGUCCCAGACCUGGUCCUGGAGGAUGAAGGGGUACUCAGGCACACUCGGACCUCCAUGGCCGAACUGCGAAGGAUGCAGUGCAACCUUGUCCCCCUUAGUGGAACCUGAAGAGUUUGCCGCCAUCAUGCUCCCAGUCCUGCAGCAAGUGUCCCAAGCUCCCAGACCUCUCCUCCCUUCUCCUAGCAUUGAGACUCCCCAGAGUGGACGGGUUGGCCUCCUCCAGUCCAGCCACCCAACAGGAGCAGCCUGGACCCCCCUUCUAGCCAGGUCAUCCUCAAGGCCGAGGAGCAGCUUCAGGAGGGAACCUCCACAGAGCCCACAGCUGUGCACCUGUGUCUGGGCGCCUCAGGGGCUGAGGUUCGAGACUAUCUGCCACCAGCUCAGGACCCCUUGCUGGCCUGGUUUCCCCCACAGUGAUGGAAUUCCCUCUCCAACUUGCCAGUGAACUCGGAAGUUAUUGGCAGGUGGCUCCCAGAUGUGACCUUGAAGCCAGAACACUUGGUCCCCCUUCCCUUAAUCACCUGCCUGGGCUACCUUAGGGGCACACAACAGAGCUGUCCCCAGAACCCCACCUGGAUUCCUGUGAGGGGCUCCACCCAGCCCACUAAAGGUGAAGCUGUAGAGCCCAGGAUGCCCUUUCUGCCACCAUAGCCCAUACCUCUCUCAGGGUAUGGAGUGGGUCCUCAACACUUUCUGCACAGCCAAGACAGAGCUGGAGCAGAACUCAGUGAGCUGCCCCAGGGCUCAGCACAUGUGCAUAGCCCUCUGACCUCUAUGUCCACAGAGAAGCUAGAUGUUCACCUGCUUCUGGAAGAGAGGCACAAACCGAGCACAGGGGCCCUGAGGCUCCAGUAAGCCGGCAUAUUGGCCUUCCUACAGGACAGCACCCCACAGAAGGCCCAAGUCCCUGAGCCAGAGGGGCAUGGCCUGGCCCUGGGCUCCAGGGAUGGUGGGUAGAGAUGACAUGAGUCCCCGCCCAAUAAGAAUGAAAACUGAUAAGACCAAGCCCCUACCCCAUGACCCUAGCCAGUCGUGGAUUCUGGCCCAAGGCUGGACAUGCACUCUCAGAGCUGUAUGUGGACCUAGAUAUGCCUCACACACCCACUUCUCUGACUUAGGGCAGCACAGGGAGCAACAGGUUACCCCAGCGAAGGGGUAGCCAACACAGGCAGGUGGGACCCACACUCACUCACACAAGGAGGCAGGUUCCCCAGUGCUGGGCAUCUUGCAGUUCGUGUCCUGGCACCAAGGGACACCAAGGAGGCCGAGGCCAAGGCCAGGCUGACAUACAGGGGCCUGCUUGGGACCCCAAAAGCUGCAGUCCCAGGUCCGGCCUGAGGAUGCUGGCAGGUUUGGACCAGGCAGGCCGAGACCAUCACUCUGCCAUCCUCAGCAACUGCAUCUCGGGGACCCCAAACUCAGGAAAUGUGCUGUCACGUGGAGUCAGAAGUCUCCCAAGGUGGGGGUCUCUAGCUCCCACGCCCCCUUGUGAUUUCAGCACCCCGAAAGGAGAAAAAGGGCUCUGUCCCAGGGGAAAAGCACAAACCCUUGACUCAGAGACUUUCUUUGCUGUUGAAAGUUCAAUAAAGCGUUUCUGUGUUAAAAAAAAGUCAGCCUGUUCUUGCAGAUCCCAGAGCUCUGUGCAAGAAGGGCCAGACAGCCACCCAGAAAGGAAAAGGGUGGCACCGCCCAGGCUACCUGCCCAGCCCCUGCCAGGUUCCCCUGCACAGGGGACUUCAGGCAAAGUAAGCUGAGGGUUCCCUGUGCCUUCC
ensembl:lincRNA